UGAGCUUGAUGAGUAGGGCGGGACACGUGGUAUCCUGUCUGAAUAUGGGGGGACCAUCCUCCAAGGCUAAAUACUCCUGACUGACCGAUAGUGAACCAGUACCGUGAGGGAAAGGCGAAAAGAACCCCGGCGAGGGGAGUGAAAAAGAACCUGAAACCGUGUACGUACAAGCAGUGGGAGCACGCUUAGGCGUGUGACUGCGUACCUUUUGUAUAAUGGGUCAGCGACUUAUAUUCUGUAGCAAGGUUAACCGAAUAGGGGAGCCGAAGGGAAACCGAGUCUUAACUGGGCGUUAAGUUGCAGGGUAUAGACCCGAAACCCGGUGAUCUAGCCAUGGGCAGGUUGAAGGUUGGGUAACACUAACUGGAGGACCGAACCGACUAAUGUUGAAAAAUUAGCGGAUGACUUGUGGCUGGGGGUGAAAGGCCAAUCAAACCGGGAGAUAGCUGGUUCUCCCCGAAAGCUAUUUAGGUAGCGCCUCGUGAAUUCAUCUCCGGGGGUAGAGCACUGUUUCGGCAAGGGGGUCAUCCCGACUUACCAACCCGAUGCAAACUGCGAAUACCGGAGAAUGUUAUCACGGGAGACACACGGCGGGUGCUAACGUCCGUCGUGAAGAGGGAAACAACCCAGACCGCCAGCUAAGGUCCCAAAGUCAUGGUUAAGUGGGAAACGAUGUGGGAAGGCCCAGACAGCCAGGAUGUUGGCUUAGAAGCAGCCAUCAUUUAAAGAAAGCGUAAUAGCUCACUGGUCGAGUCGGCCUGCGCGGAAGAUGUAACGGGGCUAAACCAU
rnacentral:rRNA from 1 species